GGCAAGGUAGCUCAGUGGUUAGAGCAGCGGAUUCAUAAACCGCAGGUCGUGAGUUCAAAUCUCACCCUUGCUA
rnacentral:tRNA from 2 species